CUAAGUUUGUCAGAUACUUCAGGGUUUGUUCUAGAAGUUGCACUGUUAAUUUCAGCCUGCCUUUAUAACAACCAUUGACUGAAUGGGAGAGGGAAAACAAUCUCUUUAAGAAGGUUUGACAAGCAAUUUCAGGUAGAGGUGGGAGUUACGUGGACACCGAGGGCAGGAAAGGUUCCUGCUUACAUCUUCCUCCACGGAACCAACUAAGUAAUUGGGAUGGAAGGACAGGAUGAAUCCUAAGGAGUAAGUGAUUAUUGUUUUUUUUUUUUUUUACUUUUCAUAAG
rnacentral:lncRNA from 1 species